rnacentral:pre_miRNA from 1 species
AGUGAAAUUGCUGGGUCAUAUGGUAACUGUGUUUUAUGUUUGAGGAAUUGCCAGACUGUUUUCCAUAGCAGCUGCAUCAUUUUAUAUUUCCACCAGCAAU